AACGAACGCUGGCGGCAGGCCUAACACAUGCAAGUCGAGCGAAGCCUUCGGGCUUAGCGGCGGACGGGUGAGUAACGCGCGGGAACGUGCCCUUUGGUACGGAAUAGCCCCGGGAAACUGGGAGUAAUACCGGAUGUGGUCGAGAGACGAAAGAUUUAUCGCCAUAGGAUAGGCCCGCGUGGGAUUAGGUAGUUGGUGGGGUAAUGGCCUACCAAGCCGACGAUCCAUAGCUGAUUGGAGAGGAUGAUCAGCCACACUGGGACUGAGACACGGCCCAGACUCCUACGGGAGGCAGCAGUGGGGAAUCUUAGACAAUGGGGGAAACCCUGAUCUAGCCAUGCCGCGUGAUCGAUGAAGGCCUUAGGGUUGUAAAGAUCUUUCAGUGGGGAAGAUAAUGACUGUACCCACAGAAGAAGCCCCGGCUAACUCCGUGCCAGCCGCCGCAGUAACAC
rnacentral:rRNA from 1 species